GGCUGGGUGUCCAUCUCACUCACCCAGCCUGAAAAUGUCUAUGUGAAGAAGCGUAAGCAAAACAGACACUUGUGCUAAUCACUGUUCAGAGCUUGGCUGCUGAGUGUUUUCUGGGAGCUGCAUUGUCAGUUGAGGGCUGCCCGCUGCGUGGGGUGGAUUCCCCAGCCCUCACAGGAUAAUUUUAUCACAGAGGACAACAUUUGUAGUUCUGCAUGAGUGGCUCUCCUGGCGAGAUAAAGAAGAGACAGUGAGCUGAGGCUGAGGCUGAGAAGGCUGGCAUAUGUGAUGUCUUCGGGGAUCGGAAGCUCUGUGGAUGACAGGAUUAGGCAUGUACAGGACCAUGGAACAGCAAGCUGAGCCACUAGGGCCCUCAGGGAGGAGAAACCCAGAAGCCUGACAUGCCAGCAAAAGGGUAAAGAAAGCUUUUAUGGUUCCCUGACUGAGGAUAAUCAACCCCUUCAUAAUUUAGAAUCCAAAGAUUGGAUCUUCUGAGAACAUCAGAGAAAGACU